rnacentral:rRNA from 1 species
CGCCUGGGGAGUACGAUCGCAAGAUUAAAACUCAAAGGAAUUGACGGGGCCCCGCACAAGCAGCGGAGCAUGCGGCUUAAUUCGACGCAACGCGAAGAACCUUACCAAGGCUUGACAUAUACAGGAAUAUGGCAGAGAUGUCAUAGCCGCAAGGUCUGUAUACAGGUGGUGCACGGUUGUCGUCAGCUCGUGUCGUGAGAUGUUGGGUUAAGUCCCGCAACGAGCGCAACCCUCGUUCUGUGUUGCCAGCAUUUAGUUGGGGACUCACAGGAGACUGCCGGGGUUAACUCGGAGGAAGGUGGGGAUGACGUCAAAUCAUCAUGCCCCUUAUGUCUUGGGCUGCACGCAUGCUACAAUGGCUGGUACAAACGGCUGCAAUACCGCAAGGUGGAGCGAAUCCGAGAAAGCCAGUCUCAGUUCGGAUUGGGGUCUGCAACUCGACCCCAUGAAGUCGGAGUUGCUAGUAAUCGUAGAUCAGCAACGCUACGGUGAUACGUUCCCGGGGCUUGUACACACCGCCCGUCACGUCACGAAAGUCGGUAACACCCGAAGUCAGUGGCCCAACCGCAAGGAGGGAGCUGCCGAAGGU